UCCCGGAUAAAAACGAACAAUUAAGGCUAUGGGAAAAACAAUUGAAAAACCACAGAUUCUUAUGUUAACAUUGCUUUCUAUUGUGAAUGUAUUGUACAGUGUUUUUAAAAUUUGAUUCUUUUUAAUGAUUACAAAAGAUUUACAUUAGAUUCCAUGGUUACAUACCCAAACAAUAGAUUAACAAUUGAAUUCUUUGUUACUGUUGGAUUCAGCGUUCAAACCAUUAGUUUACAAUAGAAUGUAUCAGUAACAUUGAAAUAUACUGUUUUUCAAUGGUCUGGACGUUUGAAAAUAAAAGGGUUAUUGCUUGGGUUUUUGAGUAAUUCCGAAACAGUGUGUAUCGAUGACAGCCAAGUUUUGUUGUAGUCAGCUCGGUCGUCAGCGGUAAAAAAUUCUGAAUAGCAGUUUUGUGUGCGGAAAAUGUGGAAAAUUCACGCUCAGCUGCGUGAAUUUUCCGCAUUUUCCUCACGGGAGAAAAUAAUAGUGUGUGGUGCAGUGCUGAAUCAUUCAACAGUUGCGGCAUUUCAACAGUGACAAGGACGUCAAGCCGGUGCGCGGUGCAUAAGCAAUCAACCCAGAGCUUGUUGAAUGCCGAUCUAAGCAAGAUCUGCAUGAGGGCCAACGGACUUAUUGUAAAAAUACUAAUUUUCCCUUCCUCUAAUUUGACCGCAAUCUUGACUGCAAUAGUUUCAUCAUCAAACUUUUUUUCGUGAAAUCAAAUGUGAAACAUAUUACUGAGUAGAACCGUAGAACCAUCUUUUGCAUUUGGUAGCUUUGCAAGGUUUUUAAAUAUAGGUUCGCUCUUUAAGCUUGGAACACAUGCAUGCCUUUGAAUCAAAUUCUAUAUUGUAUGCUGUAUUCCACAAGCUGUAGUUCAUCAAAUGUCCAUAAAUGCUACAAUAAUGGUUAAGCACGCUGUAAUGUUACUUUUGUACCUCAUCACCCACUAAAUGCAACUACAUUAGUGGUCUAAUAACACUUAGCGCGCUUCGGCACGGUUCCAUCAUGCCGCUUAUAGUGUUGCCACAUAUAAUGCUUAGUUUGCUAAACCCAGUUAUCUGGCUGGUGGGACAUGGGAGCCCAAGCUUCAUCCAUUAAUGCAAUUAGACGUUUAUUGAACAAUAAAAUGAGCGAUUCGAAUAUUUGAAGAACAUUCAAACAACAUAGAAGCUUGUGUAAAGUCAACAUUUAACGAACUUAAUCUAUGCAAUAUCUUGCAUUUUAACGCUUCGAAUGAUGUUCAAGUAUAGGUUCAAGUUGUAGUAUAUCGAGUUUUUUUUAGUGCUACAAUAAUGGUUAAGCAAGCUGUAAUGUUACUUUUGUACCUCAUCACCCACUAAAUGCAACUACAUUAGUGGUCUAAUAACACUUAGCGCGCUUAGGCACGGUUCCAUCAUGCCGCUUAUAGUGUUGCCACAUAUAAUGCUUAGUCUGCUAAACCCAGUUAUCUGGCUGGUGGGGCAUGGGAGCCCAAGCUUCAAUCAUUAAUGCAAUUAAACAUUACUCGAUUUACGACAUGAUUGAUCCAAAUAUUAGAUAAUUGUUCGAUCUGUGUUCUUAAAAUGUAGCCCUGAAUGUAGCAUAAAAUAUACAAGCUUCUAGUCCAAAUGCAUAAAGAUAGUUCAGAUUCACUGUUUUUCAGAAUUUUCUCAAGCAAUCAGUAACAAAAGUAAAAAGCAGAAAUAGAUCAAAUCAUGCCAAAAUGUUCAUAAUCGCUUGUAAAAUAAAACUAUUCCAAAACAUUAGAAUUUUCUGUUUCACAAUAGAAAACAAUUCCCAAACCUUUGGAUAGGGAAAAACAGUAUGUUCCGUAAUCACAAUUGAAAGCAAUUCCAGAACAAUAGAAUCUAAUGUGUAAUUAAGUCAGUGCUCAAAGAACAAUAUGAAAACAUAAGAAUCUUGUGUAUCACAAUAGAAAACAAUUCCCAAACCAUUGACGUUUAUUGAACAAUAAAAUGAGCGAUUCGAAUAUUUGAAGAACAUUCAAACAACAUAGAAGCUUGUGUAAAGUCAACAUUUAACGAACUUAAUCUAUGCAAUAUCUUGCAUUUUAACGCUUCGAAUGAUGUUCAAGUAUAGGUUCAAGUUGUAGUAUAUCGAGUUUUUUUUAGUGCUACAAUAAUGGUUAAGCAAGCUGUAAUGUUACUUUUGUACCUCAUCACCCACUAAAUGCAACUACAUUAGUGGUCUAAUAACACUUAGCGCGCUUAGGCACGGUUCCAUCAUGCCGCUUAUAGUGUUGCCACAUAUAAUGCUUAGUCUGCUAAACCCAGUUAUCUGGCUGGUGGGGCAUGGGAGCCCAAGCUUCAAUCAUUAAUGCAAUUAAACAUUACUCGAUUUACGACAUGAUUGAUCCAAAUAUUAGAUAAUUGUUCGAUCUGUGUUCUUAAAAUGUAGCCCUGAAUGUAGCAUAAAAUAUACAAGCUUCUAGUCCAAAUGCAUAAAGAUAGUUCAGAUUCACUGUUUUUCAGAAUUUUCUCAAGCAAUCAGUAACAAAAAUAAAAAGCAGAAAUAGAUCAAAUCAUGCCAAAAUGUUCAUAAUCGCUUGUAAAAUAAAACUAUUCCAAAACAUUAGAAUUUUCUGUUUCACAAUAGAAAACAAUUCCCAAACCUUUGGAUAGGGAAAAACAGUAUGUUCCGUAAUCACAAUUGAAAGCAAUUCCAGAACAAUAGAAUCUAAUGUGUAAUUAAAUCAGUGCUCAAAGAACAAUAUGAAAACAUAAGAAUCUUGUGUAUCACAAUAGAAAACAAUUCCCAAACCAUUGAAUCAAAUGUGGAAUCAGUAAUAAAAUUACUACUCAAAACAAUACGUUUACCGUGCAAUUCACUGUUUGAAACAAUUCGAAAACAUAAGAAUCUUCUGUAUCACAAUAGAAAACGAUACCCAAACCAUUAAAUUCAAUGUAAAUACAGUACAAACAGUAUGUUCUGUUUCACAAUAGAAAACAAUUCCAAAACAAUUGAAUCAAAUGUGGAACCAUAAAUAAAAUCACUACCCAAAACAAUA